rnacentral:sRNA from 12 species
CCCCCCAGGCCUCUCGACGAUGCUCAAUACCGGGGGC